UUUGUGUUUGUGUUUUUGUGCAUGCGUGUGUAUAUGUUUGUGUGUGUCUAUGUGUACAUGAAUGUUUGUGUUUGUUUAUAUGUUUGUGUAUAUGUGUCUGUGUGUAUGUGAAUGUCUGUGUUUAUCUGUGUGUGUGUCUGUGUCUAUGUGCGUAUGUGAGUGUCUCUGUUUGUAUAUUUGUGUGUGGUUGUAUCUAUGUGUUUAUGUCUUUGUGUAUGUGUUUGUG
rnacentral:lncRNA from 1 species